UCGCUAGUGUCUAGUUUCUUUCUCGCUAGUCUUAAAAUGACCGAAGUCGAGACGAUCCAAAUCGAGCUUAGCACGAGACACAACGAUGGUUAUAAUUCGUCCUGAUUCUUCGCGUCGGCCGUGUAACGUGACCGUGUAGUAUCGUUCUUUCGAGCAAACGUUCGUGGAACGAAGAAAAGCGUACAGAUUCGAGUAUCGACGUGGGAUGAGACAUCGAACGAAUGUAUACCUUGUCGCAAGUGUUUGCAAUCGUAUCACGUAUGACGAAACAUUUACACGUGUGUAUGUGUGUGUGCGUGCGUAACAUGGAAGACAAAUUCGAAAUACGACUUUCGUGCAAACGAAUGAAAUUUUAUUGAAAAUAUUGAAAUUUCGAAAUUUUGUUAUAUUUAAUGGAUAAAUUCGUAAUGAAAAAUUGCAAAAAUUUUGUAAUCGACGGAAAUUCGAAUAACUCGGCAAGGAAGAGAGAUUUUAUCGAUAAAGUUAAUUUCGCUCUUUUCAUCGUAUCCGUCAAAAGUGUUAAUUAAAUUAUUUCUUUAA